UACGUAGGGGGCAAGCGUUGUCCGGAAUCAUUGGGCGUAAAGAGCGUGUAGGCGGCCCGGUAAGUCCGCUGUGAAGGUCCAGGGCUCAACCCUGGGAUGCCGGUGGAUACUGUCGGGCUCGAGUCCGGAAGAGGAGUGUGGAAUUCCUGGUGUAGCGGUGAAAUGCGCAGAUAUCAGGAGGAACACCAAUGGCGAAGGCAGCUCUCUGGGACGUGACUGACGCUGAGACGCGAAAGCGUGGGGAGCAAACAGG
rnacentral:rRNA from 1 species